rnacentral:lncRNA from 1 species
CCUUAACCUCCCAACCCUCGAAGUCCCUUACUACUAGCAAUAACUACACCAACCAGCAGCCAUUCUCCCCAACUGCACCCACCACCAGCUGCACGUCCCAACUACCAGCAACAGUAGCUGCACGGUCCUAUUCCUAUUGCACGUGCUACUUCUUGCCACGUCUUCGAGCCACCAUUUGGCCAUUUGCUAGCAACCACCAUAAACGUCACACCUACCAAACCCAACACCCUAGUCGACGUUAAUCACCAUCUAACCAACCUUUACCUGAC